rnacentral:lncRNA from 1 species
CGGAACCCGGGAAUCUUCUGGAAGGCUGGCGGUGGAGCCUAGCUGUUAGCUCCCUCCGGGUCCGAGGUCUGAGCCGCGCAGGCGCGGCCUCCCUGCUUCGAAAUGGCAGCAGGAGCUCAGCAGUGGAGGACGAAGAGAGGGCCCUGCUCUGGCCGGCAGCGGAGCACAGCGGCCGCCAGCGAGGGAGGACGCCAGGGAUGACCUUCAGGGAUGCUCUGCAGAGCAUGCACAACAGGCAUCGUCCUUCCUGCCUCUCUCCAACUUCAGUACUGUACCAGAGAAGUUGAGAGUUCCAAUUCAAAGCAUGAGACCUAAGUUCCCUUCCCCUACCUCCCAGUAAAAGAAAG